GGGCCCGACUUGGCUUCGACGUGGGUGCGGAGCCGGCGCGGGGCAUGCCGAGCACCAGUACGCUCGUAAAUCCACUGGAACGAUGUAACUGCGAACGACGAACGUUUCGCCCUCGCCGCUUAACACCGGUGAGCCUCUCAACGGCAGGCCGAUGGGCCGGGCUCGAGGGUCGUAAGACCCAAUAGCUGAGAGGUCAUUCACAUCGGCUGGCGCCGUGCCGGGUCACUUGGUACGGAGCGAGAUCUAGGUGACUGGCAGGUGGGUUAGCGUGCUGCUGCGCGAAUCCACCGGCGAGAUCCAAAUCAGCCAGCUAAGCAUGUAGAACCGUCCGGUGAUGGCUUGCGGACGGGGGUUCGAUCCCCCCCGGGUCCACCA
rnacentral:tmRNA from 2 species